AGAUUGAACGCUGGCGGCAGGCCUAACACAUGCAAGUCGAGCGGCAGCACGGGUACUUGUACCUGGUGGCGAGCGGCGGACGGGUGAGUAAUGCCUAGGAAUCUGCCUGGUAGUGGGGGAUAACGCUCGGAAACGGACGCUAAUACCGCAUACGUCCUACGGGAGAAAGCAGGGGACCUUCGGGCCUUGCGCUAUCAGAUGAGCCUAGGUCGGAUUAGCUAGUUGGUGAGGUAAUGGCUCACCAAGGCGACGAUCCGUAACUGGUCUGAGAGGAUGAUCAGUCACACUGGAACUGAGACACGGUCCAGACUCCUACGGGAGGCAGCAGGUGGGGAAUAGUUGGACAAGUGGGACGAAAGCCUGAUCCAGCCAUGCCGCGUGUGUGAAGAAGGUCUUUCGGAUUAGUAAAGCUAACGUUUUAAGUUGGGAGGAAGGACGUAGUUACCUAAUACCGUAUUCUUGUUUUGACGUUACGACAGAAUAAGCACCGGCUAACUCUGU
rnacentral:rRNA from 1 species